CAGCCGCCGCGGUAAUACAGAGGGUGCAAGCGUUAAUCGGAUUUACUGGGCGUAAAGGGCGCGUAGGUGGUUAUGUAAGUGAGAUGUGAAAUCCCCGGGCUCAACCUGGGAACUGCAUCUUAUACUGCGUAGCUGGAGUGCAGUAGAGGGUAGUGGAAUUUCCGGUGUAGCGGUGAAAUGCGUAGAUAUCGGAAGGAACACCAGUGGCGAAGGCGGCUACCUGGACUGACACUGACACUGAGGCGCGAAAGCGUGGGGAGCAAACAGGAUUAGAGACCCCCGUAGUCCCUGUCUCUUAUAA
rnacentral:rRNA from 1 species